AGAGAGGGGGGAGAGGGAAUUGGGGAAGGAGUGAGCAUAACCACCAGCUCCAGAGCAGGACGAUUGACUUCCUCGCUCAGCCUCGCAGACCGCAGUGAGGAGAUCACCACUUGUGCUUUUUGAUCGAUUGGGGGAACAUUUGGCGUUUGACAUUUUCCUUUGGAUCAACACACAUCUGGAGGACAGUACCUGGAAAGUACAACGGGAUCGGUGGGUGUGUAAAAGCACUGCUACGAGGAGGCAAACUGCAUUAAGGCCUGCUAUUGUUGCUAGAAAUUUUGCCUGAAGAUAACACAGGAUGCCAGUUUUAGACUGCACUUCU